rnacentral:rRNA from 1 species
AUUCCAGACUCCUACGGGAGGCAGCAGUCGGGAAUAUUGCACAAUGGAGGAAACUCUGAUGCAGUGACGCCGCGUGCAGGAAGAAGGUUUUCGGAUUGUAAACUGCUUUAGACAGGGAAGAAACAAGACAGUACCUGUAGAAUAAGCUCCGGCUAACUACGUGCCAGCAGCCGCGGUAAUACGUAGGGAGCAAGCGUUAUCCGGAUUUAUUGGGUGUAAAGGGUGCGUAGACGGGAAUUUAAGUUAGUUGUGAAAUCCCUCGGCUUAACUGAGGAACUGCAACUAAAACUGAAUUUCUUGAGUGCGGGAGAGGAAAGUGGAAUUCCUAGUGUAGCGGUGAAAUGCGUAGAUAUUAGGAGGAACACCAGUGGCGAAGGCGACUUUCUGGACCGUAACUGACGUUGAGGCACGAAAGUGUGGGGAGCAAACAGGAUUAGAUACCCGUGUA